CUCUAGUGCUGAAAGCUGCCUUCUGAGUCCCAGCCCGGCUCUCCUGGUCCAGAGAUCUGUUUCACAGGAACCUGAAAACCUGCCAAAUCCAUCACCCAUGAUGAGCAGGAUGUAGGCAUGAAGUUUCUGGGCCACCACAUGGAGAUGCCUUUCUGCGAAUGAAGUUGACAAAGAGUAAAGCAAAGAGGAUGCAAGGGAGCUGAAUCCCGAAGAUGUUGCUCAAUUCAUUGGAUUCUGCAUUGCCUGAAGCCAGUUUGAGCCAGUUCCCGAAUGCCGGUUUGAGUUGCAUUUCUGUCACUUGCAUCAAAAAACAGAGCCUUAACUAAUUCACCCCACCCUCUCCUUUUGGAAAUUCUCCUUUUAUUUCUUGCUUCUACAUCUUCUCCUUGUAUGGUCUGCCUACCUGUUGCCCUGGAUGAAAAUGCUGUCAACAUUACAUGCUUGAGUCUUCUUCCUGCUUUGUUGUAACCAGUUUGAGGACAAGAACUGCGCUAAUUCUCUUCUUCUCUUUUAUUUGUGCGGUGGAAGGAGCACAGACUUUGAAAUCAGAACACUUAUAAGUCCUGCCUCUAUCACAAGAUGAAUGGUCUUGAAUGGAUAACUUUAAUUUCUUCUUAAAAAUCAUUUUAAAAAAUCUGUAAGAUAAGACUUUAGACUGGGCAUGGUGGCUCAUGCCUGUAAUCCCAGCACUUUGGGAGGCUGAGGCGAGAGGAUCACUUGAGGUCAGGAGUUUAAGACCAGCCUAGCCAACAUGGUGAAAACCCCUCUCUACUAAAAAUACAAAAUUAGCCAGGCUUGCUGGCAGGAGCCUGUAAUCCCAGCUACUCAGGAGCCUGAGGCAGGAGAAUCACUUGAACCUGGGAAGCAGAGGUUGCCGUGAGCUGAGAUUGUGCCACUACACUGUAGCCUGGCUGAAAAAGUGAGACUCC
rnacentral:lncRNA from 10 species